rnacentral:tRNA from 1 species
GCGGAUUUAGCUCAGUUGGGAGAGCGCCCGCUUGUCGCGUGGGAGGUCCUGUGUUCGAUCCACAGAAUUCGC